AUACGUAGGGGGCAAGCGUUGUCCGGAUUUACUGGGUAUAAAGGGAGCGCAGGCGGAUUCGUAAGUCAGGGGUGAAAUCCUACAGCUUAACUGUAGAACUGCCUUUGAUACUGCGAGUCUUGAGAUCGGAAGAGAGAGACGGAAUUCCAGGUGUAGUGGUGAAAUACGUAGAUAUCUGGAAGAACACCGAUGGCGAAGGCAGUCUCUUGGUCCGUAUCUGACGCUGAGGCUCGAAAGCGUGGGGAGCAAACAGGAUUAGAUACCCUAGUAGUCC
rnacentral:rRNA from 1 species